AACGAAUAUCAUGACAAACUCUUACCUAUACAACAACUUCCAACAGUCGCGUACAGUAGCAGACACAGACAGAGGAGCCAAAAGGACACUCUGAACAUCUUUAGAGUCGAGGAAACCCCACCAAAGCUCAGGGAUCAAACCAAGCCACCAACAAAAAGACUAAAAGACAGAAACCGCAGGGUCCACAGAUAGACCAGCACCAGUGAAAACCACUAGCCAGAAAUAGACGCACUACCUACAGACAACCCUGAAUCCUGGCCCGAGGGGCCGAGGUACCAAAGACUAAGACAAGACAAGCUUAACCAUUCACUAGACUGACAGGACGUUCCGGUCCUCAAGGCACGCCAUAGCAGCACCUUGAUGACUAACCUGCCCUUACCUACCCAAACAACGAACUGUCAAACAUGAAAUCUUAAAAACUGAAUAAGCUUGCAAUGUAUAUUUGACAAAGAAACGUUGUACCCCCCUACCCUCUCUUAAUUCUG